UACAGAGGUCUCAAGCGUUGUUCGGAUUCAUUGGGCGUAAAGGGUGCGCAGGCGGCGAGGCAAGUCGGACGUGAAAUCUCGGGGCUUAACCCCGAAACUGCGUUCGAUACUGCUUUGCUUGAGGACUGGAGAGGAGACUGGAAUUCCUGGUGUAGCAGUGAAAUGCGUAGAUAUCAGGAGGAACGCCAAUGGCGAAGGCAAGUCUCUGGACAGUUCCUGACGCUCAUGCACGAAGGCCAGGGGAGCAAACGGG
rnacentral:rRNA from 1 species